rnacentral:tRNA from 1 species
GCCUGCCUAGCUCAAUCGGAUAGAGUGUCAGACUCUUAAUCUGAAGGCUGCGAGUUUGACCCUCGCGGUGGGCU